CGGGGGGAGCAAGCGUUGUACGGAUUUACUGGGCGUAAAGGGCGUGUAGGCGGCCACCGCAAGUCAGUUGUGAAAGCUCUGGGCUUAACCCAGAAAGGUCAACUGAUACUGCGGGGCUAGAGUGCAGAAGGGGCAACUGGAAUUCUCGGUGUAGCGGUGAAAUGCGUAGAUAUCGAGAGGAACACCUGCGGCGAAGGCGGGUUGCUGGGCUGACACUGACGCUGAAACGCGAAAGCUAGGGGAGCGAACGGGAUUAGAUACCCCGGUAGUCCUAGCCUUAAACGAUGAAUGCUUGGUGUCUGGGGUUUAUAGUCCCCGGGUGCCGUCGCUAACGCUUUAAGCAUUCCGCCUGGGGAGUACGGUCGCAAGACUG
rnacentral:rRNA from 1 species